UUCCCAUCUUGCCAUUUUUCCAAAAGCCACAACCCUCGCGUCUCCAUCUCCGACCGGCGACUCUCAUUUUCACUCGAUGUCUCUGUUUCUUCCAAUCUAUGUCUCCGGCGACUCCUUCUCUCUCCGUCUUCUUGUUGGACGAACGACGGAAGGAGCCAACACAGCCAAGGUGGCAAGCAAAGGCGGCAAGACUAAAAUGGCGAAAGGCGACUCUCUUUUUCAGUCUCUCUGUGAUUCUGUCUCUCUCCAAUUCUCAAACUAUCAAAGAUUUCCAGCCCUUCAAAGGUGACUGAAUCUAUUGAAGAUUAUGUUAAGUUGGAAGGGAGAGUUGGACGAGCUUACCAGGGAAUGUUCCUAUUCAAGUUCUCAGAUCACUGAAACAGAUCAUCUGGCAUUGGAAGCAGAAUAAAAUUGUCACCGGGAAUGAUCAUUCUGUAGAUUUUGCCUCAUUCAUACGGCUAUUGGGUAGAAAAGAAAUGCCUCAUAUUGCUCAGCUAAUCUUUGUUGAGAUGAAAUCUGAAGGCCUUGCUACCCUAUCAGCUCUGAUGCUGUGCUAUGCAGAAAAUGACCUUUUGUCCCAUGCCAAGUCUGUAUGGGAAGAAAUAAUAGCUAGCUCAUUUGUUCCUAAUAUUGAGGUGGUUUCAGAUCUAAUGAAUGCAUAUGGGCAGAUGG